UACAGAGGUGGCAAGCGUUGUUCGGAAUUACUGGGCGUAAAGCGCGUGUAGGCGGCCUGCUAAGUCGAACGUGAAAUCCCCGAGCUCAACUCGGGAACUGCGUCCGAUACUGGCAGGCUUGAAUCCGGGAGAGGGAUGCGGAAUUCCUGGUGUAGCGGUGAAAUGCGCAGAUAUCAGGAGGAACACCGGUGGCGAAGGCGGGUCUCUGGGCCGAUACUGACGCUGAGGAGCGAAAGCGUGGGGAGCGAACAGG
rnacentral:rRNA from 1 species